AGAAUGUGACACUUCUCUGAACGUUGGUGAUGAAUGACAAUGAACAUGCUGAACUAGAAUAAGACAGAAAUGGGAAAAUGGAUCAACAGAAGGGGAGAAGUUCCUGGCAGAUUGACAACCCCACAGCCAAUGCACAGAGGAAAGUUCCUGAACAUUCUACAAGGCACAGUCAACUUGAACACAAUCUGAAACUGGAAAUUCAUAUACAGAUUUAAAGGACUGUGAUAAAAGCACACAGAAGACAGUGCACCCUCCUGAUGUGGUUCCUCUUUCUAUGUGGAGUGUGACUGAGCUGGUGGGAAAAGGGCGGAUUAUAGCAUGUUACAGGCGAAGCGUGCAUGUGGCACAGCAAAGGAAGGACUAACAGCACAGCUGGACAGAACAGAGACGCUGUCUUAUAGAACACUUGUUUUACUCAUGUGUUUAUGCUACAACUGAUUACCUGCAGCCUAUUCAAAAAUCAACAAACGCAAUGAUAUUCCAGAAACCUUACAAAGACAAAAAUAAAAACAAAAUAUGGGGGGAGGGGGCGGGGGAGGGAAUACAUGAGAUGGAAAUAAAGAAAAAAACCUACAGCUCAAAAACUCAGGAAUGGCAACCCUGAUGAAAGAGAGGAAGUACAGGGAGGGUGUGGACCUACAGC
ensembl:antisense Gm27227 predicted gene 27227